rnacentral:sRNA from 1 species
GGCGGAUCCGGCACCAGAGAGGAAGCCGUGGCGUGGCGGCGCUCACCUCGGGCUCGGAGAGCGGGCGGCACUCCAUGAGCUGCUCGAUCUGGGCGUCCAGGCCGCCGCCGCCGCCGCCGCGCGAGCCCACGGACUCCUCCAUCCUUCCUCCCACCUCCUCCGCCGCAGACAAGAGGGGCACCUGGUCUAACCCUAGCCGGGGGAGAGCUCGUCGCCGGCGAGGGGGAGGCGAGCUGGAGAGAGAGAGAGAGGAGAGAGAUUGAGAUGCGGUUGGGGGGCGCGAGGGGGAGGGAGAUGGUGCAAGGGCAGGGCAGGCAGCCAAAUGCGGGG